GGGUUGUGAGGUUAAGCGACUAAGCGUACACGGUGGAUGCCCUGGCAGUCAGAGGCGAUGAAGGACGUGCUAAUCUGCGAUAAGCGUCGGUAAGGUGAUAUGAACCGUUAUAACCGGCGAUUUCCGAAUGGGGAAACCCAGUGUGAUUCGUCACACUAUCAUUAACUGAAUCCAUAGGUUAAUGAGGCGAACCGGGGGAACUGAAACAUCUAAGUACCCCGAGGAAAAGAAAUCAACCGAGAUUCCCCCAGUAGCGGCGAGCGAACGGGGAGCAGCCCAGAGUCUGAAUCAGUGUGUGUGUUAGUGGAAGCGUCUGGAAAGGCGCGCGAUACAGGGUGACAGCCCCGUACACAAAAAUGCACAUGCUGUGAGCUCGAUGAGUAGGGCGGGACACGUGGUAUCCUGUCUGAAUAUGGGGGGACCAUCCUCCAAGGCUAAAUACUCCUGACUGACCGAUAGUGAACCAGUACCGUGAGGGAAAGGCGAAAAGAACCCCGGCGAGGGGAGUGAAAAAGAACCUGAAACCGUGUACGUACAAGCAGUGGGAGCACGCUUAGGCGUGUGACCGCGUACCUUUUGUAUAAUGGGUCAGCGACUUAUAUUCUGUAGCAAGGUUAACCGAAUAGGGGAGCCGAAGGGAAACCGAGUCUUAACUGGGCGUUAAGUUGCAGGGUAUAGACCCGAAACCCGGUGAUCUAGCCAUGGGCAGGUUGAAGGUUGGGUAACACUAACUGGAGGACCGAACCGACUAAUGUUGAAAAAUUAGCGGAUGACUUGUGGCUGGGGGUGAAAGGCCAAUCAAACCGGGAGAUAGCUGGUUCUCCCCGAAAGCUAUUUAGGUAGCGCCUCGUGAACUCAUCUCCGGGGGUAGAGCACUGUUUCGGCAAGGGGGUCAUCCCGACUUACCAACCCGAUGCAAACUGCGAAUACCGGAGAAUGUUAUCACGGGAGACACACGGCGGGUGCUAACGUCCGUCGUGAAGAGGGAAACAACCCAGACCGCCAGCUAAGGUCCCAAAGUCAUGGUUAAGUGGGAAACGAUGUGGGAAGGCCCAGACAGCCAGGAUGUUGGCUUAGAAGCAGCCAUCAUUUAAAGAAAGCGUAAUAGCUCACUGGU
rnacentral:rRNA from 1 species